CAGCAGCCGCGGGAAUACGGAGGGUGCAAGCGUUAAUCGGAAUUACUGGGCGUAAAGCGCACGCAGGCGGUCUGUUAAGUCAGAUGUGAAAUCCCCGGGCUCAACCCGGGAACUGCAUUUGAAACUGGCAGGCUUGAGUCUUGUAGAGGGGGGUAGAAUUCCAGGUGUAGCGGUGAAAUGCGUAGAGAUCUGGAGGAAUACCGGUGGCGAAGGCGGCCCCCUGGACAAAGACUGACGCUCAGGUGCGAAAGCGUGGGGAGCAAACAGGAUUAGAUACCCCAGUAGUCCCUGUCUCUUAUAA
rnacentral:rRNA from 1 species